rnacentral:rRNA from 1 species
UGCCAGCCGCCGCGGUAAUACGGAGGGUGCAAGCGUUGUUCGGAAUUAUUGGGCGUAAAGCGCGUGUAGGCGGUUCGUUAAGUCUGAUGUGAAAGCCCGGGGCUCAACCCCGGAAGUGCAUUGGAAACUGGCGAACUUGAGUACGGGAGAGGAAAGUGGAAUUCCGAGUGUAGGGGUGAAAGUCGUAGAUAUUCGGAGGAACACCAGCGGCGAAAGCGGAUUACUGGGUCUUACUGAAGCUGAGGCACGAAAGCUAGGGGAGAGAACGGGAUUAGAUA